GAUGUUCCAGACAUUAAUUUCAGACAGUACACUUUCUUCAGUGUGAGAUUUUGGAGUUGAAUCCACUACAUUUUUGAACACAGCGGUGAGCACAUAGCCCAUACAAGGGAAAGGUGGUAAGAUGCAGAAGGAACAAGUGAGUUUGUAAAAUGAGUGCAGACCUCUGGCUGAAAGCGCUCCUCCUCAACCAAGCUGCCUGGGAUGAAAUAGCCCCUGGUCUUCAGUCUAGGUCAUGGUCUUCUACAGCCAAACCCACCCAGCUGCCACUUCCUGUGGUACUACAGCCUAAUCCCAAGGAACACCAGCACCUUCAAAUGUCUACCAAAAUAGAAGCAGUGAAUCAUAUUUUUGCUGGAACAAAAUGAUGACCUUUGAAAGUCCUCCAGACUCAGGCUUACGGGCAGAUGAACUCCUAUUUUAAUGAUUCCUCCCUGUGACGUGGGGUGGCAUCUUCUUGGAACAAACAUCUCCAUGUCUCCAGCUGUUGCUUCAACUGCUUGAAACGUAUGCUCUGGGAUCAACUCAACAUGACAUGGAAUUCAGAAAGUUACGCUGCCACCACCAAAGGGAGCAGCGUAAGUCAGCGAGAGCU